UUGAACGCUGGCGGCAUGCCUUACACAUGCAAGUCGAACGGCAGCACGGGGGCAACCCUGGUGGCGAGUGGCGAACGGGUGAGUAAUACAUCGGAACGUGUCCUGUAGUGGGGGAUAGCCCGGCGAAAGCCGGAUUAAUACCGCAUACGCUCUACGGAGGAAAGGGGGGGAUCGCAAGACCUCCCGCUACAGGGGCGGCCGAUGGCAGAUUAGCUAGUUGGUGGGGUAAAGGCCUACCAAGGCGACGAUCUGUAGCUG
rnacentral:rRNA from 1 species